CAGAGAUGGAAGAGAGAAACUGCAACUCCAAAUGUAUCUCAGCAUCACUUAACUCUGAAGUGUAGCAGAAGGAGCAUCCAUGGAAGAGAUCUGGAGAGGUCCUGGAUGAGGACAUGACCUUCAGGAUGCCCUUUCCAUCACUCACCAAAUCAGCUGAGGAGCUCCUGUUACAGAACAGAUCUCAAAGCCAGCAAUAUCCAGGACACCAAUGAAGUACUGCCUGGGCUGCUUCGUGUCCAGCUGUUCAUUGAUGCGAACAACCAUCCACAGAAACAUCUUCUCAUAGACAGCCUUUGCCAGGGCACCCACUGAAUUGUACACCUAAACCAAAGAAGAGUGGAGCACAAGAAAUGCAAUAUCCAGAGCAAACAUCUUCCCGGCCCCGGAUUCUCCGCUGCCAAAGCCAAGAGAGAAGCAGAGGGUGCGUGGUCAGGCAGGAGGUGCCCUGGCACCGGGCAGCCCCACAGGGACUCGCGCAGGGGGUGUACGUACGUGAUCAGGAUGGACUGGUUCUCCCGAUCUGUGAAGAGACAGAA